rnacentral:rRNA from 1 species
AAAGCGUGCGCAGGCGGUUUUGUAAGACUGUCGUGAAAUCCACGGGCUCAACCUGGGAAUGGCGAUGGUGACUGCAAGGCUAGAGUUUGGCAGAGGGGGGUAGAAUUCCACGUGUAGCAGUGAAAUGCGUAGAUAUGUGGAGGAACACCGAUGGCGAAGGCAGCCCCCUGGGUCAAAACUGACGCUCAUGCACGAAAGCGUGGGGAGCAAACAGGAUUAGAUACCCUUGU